UUCGGAAUGCUCAGAGCACGGCAGAGCCCCAGUCCAGCAGAUGGCAGCAGGUGGUGAUGCUGGGAGCAGCUCUGGGAGCAGCUCUGGCAGAUCCCAGCAGAUUUCUGGACAACUCAGGAGCUGAUAGUGACACUCUGUCAUCCUCCCCCUCGCUGGGGAAUGAGGCCUUCUCUCACAUCUCCUCCCUCACCCAUUCUCCUUCCUCACAGAACACAAAAUUCCUAUGGACAGGCAGGAAAUAAACUCAAAUAAGCUGGUGUGCAGUGUGUGAGUGUGAGCCUUCCCCUGGUGUUCGUCUUGUGCAGGAAAUAAAGUCAAAUAAGCUGGUGUCCAGUGUGUGAGUGUGAGCCUUCCCCUGGUGUUUCAGAAAACAGCUCUGCACCCCGGCUGCUGGAGGAUUUCAGUGUCCGGACCCUCUAUGACAAGCUGGAGGAUCAGAAUUUGCACCUGGCCUCUCAGCUGGCCAAGUACAGGAUGAACAUGCUGGGCUUCCACAGCAGGGUCAGCCAGAGCAUCCAGAGCCUCAUGGACACGGUGCAAGCUCUGGACUGGGAAGCCUUGAAAACCUUUUCCAGGCAAGGGAUUUGUGGGCAGAAAGCUGCAGAGCAGAGCCGGACAGCAGUGGGUGCUGAGCUGAGGGAUGGACACUGGAACUUCCAGCCAGGAUCCUGAGCUGUCUCAGCUCUGGGAGCUGCUCAGCAGGAAAGAUGCUUUUUCCAGCCUGCCUUUUUCCAGCCUGCCUGGGCAUGAAGAGCAUGGCUCAGAUCCCCACUUGGUUUAUCUGACUGAGCUGGAGGUGGAGGGUCUGGUGGCAGCUUCCCCCCUUGCCAAGACCCUGUGUGAGAUCAAGGAAGCUUUGGUGAAUCUGCAGCAACCCUCAGCCCUUGGUAAUUCAGGUAAUUCAGCUGUUUUUCUUCAUGUGUGCUGGUUUAGAGCAGUAAAUAAACCAGGAGUUAAAAUAAGCAGGAUUUCUUCUGAACUGAAU
rnacentral:lncRNA from 12 species